GCGGCGCCUCGUGUGCCGCGGACGUCACCCCGCCGCUUGGCGCGGCGGGUUCGGGCAGACAAGCCGACGGCGGGUUCGGACCUCCCGCGGCGUCGUU
rnacentral:tRNA from 1 species